rnacentral:lncRNA from 1 species
GCUGACUGUGUAACUCCUAGUUGAGUGUGAAGACCUGAGGUAUCAGGGGUAGGGGUUGCUCUGCUUGUGUAAGUCCCAUAGUGUGAAGGCCAGAGAACCAAGAGAUGGUCAAGAAGAGAGAGUAAGUGUCCAAUGUCCCAGCUCAAGAAGAGAGAGAGCAUCACGACCUGUGCAGACUCCCCAGCAUCAUAACAGGAAGGUCCCACGAUCACGAGCACAUUGCCUUCAGCAUCCAGCACUGAAUAUGGUGAAUUGCACUCUGAAGAGCUUCCUAAGCUUGUAAGAAAGUGAUUCUGAAAAGCUCAACAUUUUGGUAGAAUGGAGAGAUUUGACAUUGCUUCUGCUCCAAAAGCAAAAGACUUGGCCCAGAAGCUAAAAAUCACCUGCCAUCUUGGAAAUAAUCCCUGGAGGAUCAAGUCCAAGGGGGAGAAGUGGACUGGUCACCCCAGCCGAGGUUAUCUAAGUUCCAUGGCUUACUCCAGACAGGAAGCCCCACAUCCUGCAGCCUCAUUCAUAAUCCAUAAUAGAUGGUGUUCUUGGAUCCCAAGUUGAGAAAAGAAGUUAACUAUGCACAUUUUGGCAAAGAUGCAGACCAGGGUUUGAUCUAAGCAGCUAUCACAUAAAAUAAUAAAGUACAAAUGGAAAUGGCAAAAAUGUGCCCAUAUCACAGUGCAGAGUGUGCCAAAGCUGACCGAAAAAUUAUGCAUUUUUCAUGUUUCAAUAAACGUACUUAACUGGCAUUUUGUGGGACACUGCUGGGUGACAGCCCACGGCAUCAGAGCUGGCAAGGAGCCCAC